rnacentral:rRNA from 1 species
ACAGGGAUUGCCCUAGUAACGGCGAGUGAAGCGGCAACAGCUCAAAUUUGAAAUCUGGCUCUUUCAGAGUCCGAGUUGUAAUUUGCAGAGGGCGCUUUGGCUUUGGCAGCGGUCCAAGUUCCUUGGAACAGGACGUCACAGAGGGUGAGAAUCCCGUACGUGGUCGCUAGCUAUUGCCGUGUAAAGCCCCUUCGACGAGUCGAGUUGUUUGGGAAUGCAGCUCUAAAUGGGAGGUAAAUUUCUUCUAAAGCUAAAUAUUGGCCAGAGACCGAUAGCGCACAAGUAGAGUGAUCGAAAGAUGAAAAGCACUUUGGAAAGAGAGUCAAACAGCACGUGAAAUUGUUGAAAGGGAAGCGCUUGCAGCCAGACUUGCUUGCAGUUGCUCAUCCGGGCUUUUGCCCGGUGCACUCUUCUGCAGGCAGGCCAGCAUCAGUUUGGGCGGUGGGAUAAAGGUCUCUGACACGUUCCUUCCUUCGGGUUGGCCAUAUAGGGGAGACGUCAUACCACCAGCCUGGACUGAGGUCCGCGCAUCUGCUAGGAUGCUGGCGUAAUGGCUGUAAGCGGCCCGUCUUGAAACACGGACCAAGGAGUCUAACAUCUAUGCGAGUGUUUGGGUGUCAAGCCCGAGCGCGUAAUGAAAGUGAACGGAGGUGGGAACCCGCAAGGGCGCACCAUCGACCGAUCCUGAAGUUUACGGAAGGAUUUGAGUAAGAGCAUGGCUGUUGGGACCCGAAAGAUGGUGAACUAUGCUUGAAUAGGGUGAAGCCAGAGGAAACUCUGGUGGAGGCUCGCAGCGGUUCUGACGUGCAAAUCGAUCGUCAAAUUUGGGCAUAGGGCGAAAGACUAAUCGAACUAUCUAGUAGCUGGUUUCCUGC